rnacentral:rRNA from 1 species
AUUGAACGCUGGCGGCAGGCCUAACACAUGCAAGUCGAACGGUAACAGGAAGCAGCUUGCUGCUUCGCUGACGAGUGGCGGACGGGUGAGUAAUGUCUGGGAAGCUGCCUGAUGGAGGGGGAUAACUACUGGAAACGGUAGCUAAUACCGCAUAAUGUCGCAAGACCAAAGAGGGGGACCUUCGGGCCUCUUGCCAUCGGAUGUGCCCAGAUGGGAUUAGCUUGUUGGUGGGUAACGGCUCACCAAGGCGACGAUCCCUAGCUGGUCUGAGAGGAUGACCAGCCACACUGGAACUGAGACACGGUCCAGACUCCUACGGGAGGCAGCAGUGGGGAAUAUUGCACAAUGGGCGCAAGCCUGAUGCAGCCAUGCCGCGUGUAUGAAGAAGGCCUCGGUUGUAAGUACUUUACAGUCGGGAGGAAGGGAGUAAGUAA